UACGGAGGGUGCAAGCGUUGUUCGGAAUCAUUGGGCGUAAAGCGCACGUAGGUGGGCUUGUAAGUAGAUUGUGAAAUCCCUGGGCUUAACCCCGGACGUGCUGUCUAAACUGCAAGUCUUGAAUGUUCGAGAGGAUGGUGGAAUUCCUGGAGUAGUAGUGAAAUACGUAGAUAUCAGGAGGAACACCGGAGGCGAAGGCGGCCAUCUGGCGAACUAUUGACACUAAGGUGCGAAAGCGUGGGUAGCAAACAGG
rnacentral:rRNA from 1 species